CUGGGGCGAGGACUGUGGCUGGUCUCAGCUGCACACACUGAUCCACGUCUGGCCAGCAAGGACUCCGGGAUCCGCCAUUCGGCCAAUUACCUGAUUCCUCUGUGUGCCCUUGAGGGUUCUAGAAAUUUCUCAUCUUGUAAACUGAAUAUCAGAUAAAGAAGUAGUCCCGCUUUGUGCAUGAAAUUGAAAUCUGAAGCCUAAGUUUUCCACUUGACAUAUUUCACAUCACUCAAAUACGUCAUCAAAAGGUCUUGGAUCCGGCCACAGAAAUGCUACAGCCAGAGACAUGUAACAAAUGUGAAAGUAUAGGGACAGAGGCUGCAAAGAGGACACAGUGGAAUUGGAGGCUGUGGAUUGCAGAGUAUUCGCUCAGUCCUGGAACCGGGUGAUCCUGCCUUAAAAGCCAGCGUGUCCCAGUCCAGCACCCCUGGUAAGCAGUCAGGGCCUGCACUUGGAGAUGCCCGAUGGCCUCAAGAAAACUUCAUGUUUCCAGCAUUUCAUCUGGAGUCCCUGCUUGCCCAAGGUCAGCUAUUUAUUCAAGAUGUAACUGCUAAAGUGUUUUUUACCUACGAAUGUCUAAAAUAGAUGUUUCUCCAGUGCA